rnacentral:rRNA from 1 species
AACGUAGGAGACAAACGUUAUCCGGAGUUACUGGGCGUAAAGGGCGUGCAGGCGGUCGACUAAGUCUGGCGUGAAAGCUCUCGGCUAAACCGGGAGAGGUCGUUGGAUACUGGUUGACUAGAGGACGGUAGAGGCGUGUGGAAUUCCGGGUGUAGUGGUGAGAUGCGUAGAGAUCCGGAGGAACACCAGUGGCGAAGGCGACACGCUGGGCCGUACCUGACGCUGAUACGCGACAGCAUGGGGAGCGAACGGG